rnacentral:tRNA from 1 species
CCUUCGAUAGCUCAGCUGGAAGAGCGUGGGACUGUAAUUGGAUAUGUCCUGGCAUCCCAAGGUCACUGGUUCGAUCCCGGUUCGAAGGA